rnacentral:lncRNA from 10 species
GGGCACGAGGGAAGGGGCCACCUCUGGGAUUUAGGGGGCACUGGCGUCACCAGCUGGGUCUGGAAAGUCCACCUGCCGUCAAGGACACGCAGGAGCUCAGCCCUGGAUGGCUGCCCUUCCUGGAAACCUUAGGAUACCUCUGCUGGCUCCAGCUGCCCCCUCCCUGUGAGUCAGCUCCUUCAAGCCACAGCCCGCCAGAUGGCUUCCAAGGCACCAAGGAUGCAGCUCCUGACCUGAUGCCUCUCAGCUCCAGGACUUCCCAGGACCCCUCAGCUGCCCUGGACCCUGCUGCUACUGCCGUCACCUCUGCACCUUGUCCCCAGCUGGGCUGCUGACUCAGAUAUGCCAGGCUCCUAUGCUAUCAUUUCAACUCCCAGGCUCAGCUCACUCCAGGAGCCUAGUUGGAGAAUGGAUUUCCCCAGCUGAAGGACGCUUCAGCUAUACCAGUGGAGAAACGGAGGCACAGAGUCCGUGAAUGGUCUAAGGACACAUGCACCCAAAAUUGAGGCCCAGGCAGGGCUCGCCUCUUCCAUGAAGCCUUCCGUGACCACUGUAGAUGGCAGCGAUGCUUCCUUCCUCCAUAUUCUGCCAGGAAAGGAAGAGAAACAGCAAGGAAAAGAAUGAAACAAGAACUGUCCUCUGUGCAUGGGGCUGAGCCCCAUUCCUAUGCUGAUAUGAUCUCUCACUACAGCCUUGCCAGGUAGACAUAGCUGCUCUCGCACAGAUGAGGAAACAGCAUAAAGACGUUAGAUGUUAAGUGACCUGCUGCUCAAAGCCACGGGCCUGGGGUUGGGAGCGGACUCAGCACUUUUGUGCGAGGAUCUAGUGCCUGGUAGAAGGAAAUGUUCCGCAUAUUCUCAGACAAGUCCCUUCCUCUCUCUUUCUCAGUCUUUCCACCUGUAACAUGAGCUCAAUCAGAGGUAAACUGUGCCCUAUAGAUGGUCUAGGGCGAGGGGAAGAUGGACCCCCUGAAAUUGUAUGCGUGUGACAUUGAGGCACAAAGGCCCAAGCCCUUCAUGAUUUGCAAAGAGAUCUCUGACAUUGUCUGUUUUGGAUUGGAGAGGACCAGCUGAGGGAUGUGUUUUGAGAAGCAUGAAUGACCAAAUGAAUUCAAUAAAUACGUAGUGAAUAUCUAAUCUGAC